rnacentral:misc_RNA from 1 species
GAUGAAGAACGUAGCGAAAUGCGAUAAGUAGUGUGAAUUGCAGAAUUCAGUGAAUCAUCGAAUCUUUGAACGCACAUUGCGCCCCUUGGUAUUCCAUGGGGCAUGCCUGUUCGAGCGUCAUUUCAACCCUCAAGCCCUGCUUGGUGUUGGGGUCCCACGGCCGCCGUGGGCCCUGAAAGGAAGUGGCGGGCUCGCUACAACUCCGAGCGUAGUAAUUCAUUAUCUCGCUUAGGGCGUUGGGCGGCGCUCCUGCCGUUAAAGAACCAUCUUUAACUCAAGGUUGACCUCGGAUCAGGUAGGAAUACCCGCUGAACUUAAGCAUAUCAAUAAGCCGGAGGA